rnacentral:rRNA from 1 species
GACUAACGCUAGCGGCGUGCCUCAUACAUGCAAGUCAAACGGUUUUGUGAAGGUACGUAAGUAUUUUUGCAGAAUAGUGGCGAACGGGUGAGUAACACGUGGAUAACCUACCUUUAAGUGGGGAAUAAUAUCUCGAAAGGGGUACUAAUACCGCAUAAUCUUUUUUUACAUAUGUAAAAAAAGACAAAGAAGGCCUCUACUUGUAAGCUUUCGCUUUUAGAUGGGUCCGCGGUCCAUUAGCUAGUUGGUGUGGUAAUGGCGCACCAAGGUUAUGAUGGAUAGCCGGCUUGAGAGAGUCAACGGCCACACUGGGACUGAGAUACGGCCCAGACUCCUACGGGAGGCAGCAGUAGGGAAUCUUGCGCAAUGACCGAAAGGUUGACGCAGCAACGCCGCGUGGGUGAUGAAGGUCUUCGGAUUGUAAAACCCUGUCUUCCAAGAAGAACGGCUUUUAAAAUAAUAAGUUAAAAGUCUGACUGUAUUGGAGGAGGAAGCCUGCUAACU